AGUGUAACACUGGUUCAUAAACAUGUGGUUAAUUUCCAGAGAUAGCAGCUUUGCUGGAUCACAGACGUUCUGAGUCUUGUAUAAUUAAAAGAUGAAAUUCCUCUGAGGUGAGUCCUUUUUAGACCUAGAAACACUGGGAUGGCAAAAUGUCUCUUGGAUCCAAUAAUAAGGCAUUUGCUCUGGCAACGACUGAAAAAGUGUUUUCAUUACCCCACUAACAACUACAAAGGAGUAAAAACAAUCCAGAAAUGGUUAAUUAUACACUAUAUUACAUGCAUAGUCUUUUGAGUUAUUCAUAUCAACAGGAAAUACAGCAGAUAAUAUCGCAAACACUGUGUAGAGGCUGUAAACAGUAUUAUCUUUAAAGAACUAUUAAUGACUUCUGCUUUCAGGAAUCUGCCCUAAUUUCCUAUGAAGGGAAUGAUAGUUCCAAGGUAGAGAAAUGUGAUGAAAGAGUGGAGAAUAUGAUUCUCAACCAAGUAGGAACAGGAGUUUUCUGGAUGAAGAUAAAGGGGUUUUGACUUAAUCAAUAGGAACAAAAUAAAAAGGAAUAGAGAAAAAGAUUUUAUAUUUAAAAUUUCCAUGCAAUUUUUGUUUUCCAAAGUUUCAGAGAUUUACUUUCCCUUUUAUCUUCAGCAAUCUCAAUGUCACUUGAAGAUAUUUAUGUCCCAAAUUGUCUUUUUUUGUUUGAAAGAUUAGGUUGAUAGCUACAUCAAUGACAGAGCUAACCAUCAAUAGAAAUUAAAUCCUCUGGAUUUCAAAGAAGCUUUGGAAAAACAAGAAAAAUCAAAUUCAAUCUAAUAAAAACAAGAAUAAUUUCUGGACUACAAUGUGGUUCUGAAACUGUGUAUCAACAAAGGUGAAUUUUACAUCGCGCACUAAUUCUCAGACACGGAGCAAAUUUUAUUUCAGAGAAGAAUGCAAUUUCAAAAGUACAAUGACUAUACUCUCCAUGAAAAAGUAAAAUAUUUGGGAGUAACUAAGAAAUAAGACAGAGAAACUGUAAUGAUGACCAUAUCCUCCUACUGACUUAUGCUGAAGACAAAAGAAAAGUUCCAAUCUUGCUACUAGACAAAUGAUUGUUCCCACCCUCUUUAUGUGUCUCAUUCUUAAUAGAGAAGCAUGUAAAAAUAACCUGAAGCUAAAAGUAGUGAACUCUAGAGAAGGAAGAAGGAAGAUGAACCCAUCCACUUGUCCGUUAUGACAAAUUAGUGUUGCUCUGAGGCCAUUUUGAGUUAUUUCCACCUGUAUGAGGCCUGUAUUUGCUCCCCUCUCCAAACAGUAUGUUAGUCACCUUUUCAUAAUGGCCCUCCUUACUUGUUUUUCUUUUCUUCAGACCAUUUCACACAUCCUGCUGUUUUACUAGGCAUUCAGAAGGCUUUAGCGUGCCUUCUAAUCAUAGCAUAUUAAAGAACAAGCAAAUGUUAA